rnacentral:pre_miRNA from 1 species
GCAACAUGCAAAGUACUGUUGGAUGCAAAAAUAGACAUCUCAGAUGUGUCCACGUCACCGAGUAAAAGUUUUACUCACAGAUCUCCGUGAGUAAUUUUUUUACUCCCUCCAUGAGUAUCCAUGAUUAAACUUUUUACUCCUAGAUCAAAACUGUGAGUAAAUUUUUAAUUCAUGGUGACGUGGACAAAUCUCAUACGCUUAUUUUGGAUCCAGGGUAGUUUACAUGUUUGC